rnacentral:misc_RNA from 1 species
GAGAAGAACGUAGCGAAAUGCGAUAAGUAAUGUGAAUUGCAGAAUUCAGUGAAUCAUCGAAUCUUUGAACGCACAUUGCGCCCGCCAGUAUUCUGGCGGGCAUGCCUGUUCGAGCGUCAUUUCAACCAUCAAGCCCCCGGCUUGUGUUUGGGACCUGCGGCUGCCGCAGGCCCUGAAAAGCAGUGGCGGGCUCGCUGUCACACCGAGCGUAGUAGCAUACAUCUCGCUCUGGGCGUGCUGCGGGUUCCGGCCGUUAAACCACCUUCAUAACCCAAGGUUGACCUCGGAUCAGGUAGGAAGACCCGCUGAACUUAAGCAUAUCAAUAAGCGGAGGA